rnacentral:lncRNA from 1 species
AGAGCUUCCUUGCCUGCCUGCUUGCAUCUCUUACAAGCAUCCUAUCCUGAUAAAUCUGCUUCUCGCCUGUCACUUUGUCUCUGGCAGACCUCCUGCGCAGAGGCAUGACGAACCUGAACCUUAGUGAGUCCAGACUCAGGGUGAGUAACUCGAAUUUAAAACCGUGGGUUCACGUCCCCAUCUGGCUUUAGGCUGGGUUCGAGUAGGUUGGGUUUGAGUCCCGGCAUGUGGGUUUAAGUCCAGUCUGUGUUCUGCCUGGGUUCAGGCCAUGAGCCUCGUCAGUUCCAGUCUCACGCUUCUCCAUCCACGGCCCCCGCCCCAAACCCUGCGUCAGGAGAGGUUCUGAGGCUGUGCUCGCGAGCAUCCAGUGAGAGAACUGGGCCCAUCAGCCAUGUCUGCCACAGGCACAGCGCGGCCGUGGGGGGAAACAGGUGAAUGGAGUUGACGUGGCGGUUGCAAGGCUCUAGAACGAGGAAUCUGGAAGGCUGAGACCAGAAACUGCCUUCAUCUCUCCUAAUCUGGGUUCUUUCCAAGACAUUAAGUGGAUUCCAGAGGGAGAUGGACACAGAGAGGGAAAGACAUCUGGGGUUUGCGUCCUUUGCUGGUUCGACGACUGUCACGGUUGCCCGGCCUGCGCAUAGGGCUGCGUGGGGAAGAAAGCGCCGUUGCCCCGCCUGUUCCCGGCGCCUCGCCCUCAACACUGCCAACCACUUCCCAGAGGCCAAGUGCCUGGCGUGGAUCUUUGAACAGUGCCACACCCACACCCCCCAGGCUUCACUCCUUAGAGUGGUUCCUCCAUUCCCAGAAGCACUUAACUGGCCGGAGUGCCCAGAGAAGGUGCCCAGAGCAGUACUUAGAGGCUGUCCCUGGGGGCAGGGCUUGGCCCCGAGGCAUCCAGCCAAAGUCCUGCCUCUCAAGGAGAACAACAGAACUGACUGUUUGCUUGCAUCCAGGGGAGCCGAGCAUUUGCAGAACUGUGGUUUCCGCUCAUCGUUUGUACCUUAGAAGGCACAUGUGGUUAAAACUGCCUGAGAUUGGUGCUGGCAUUUUGUGGUAGAAAGUUUGCCAAUUUGGGAAGUUAAGCUUUGACUUGGUUCUCAUGGACAUGUGAGCAUCCCACACACCCACAUGCCACAAACCCACCCGCCUACCCACCCACCCACCUACCCCCCAUCCAGCCCCCCUCCCACCUACCCCCAUCCACGCACAGACACCCCUCAGGUGGCGCCGCGCCCUCAGGAAGCACCAUGAACACCGCCACACGUGGCCCCUCAAGCUUCUAAUCUAAGCUGAGGUUCCAGGCAGGGGCACACAGACCCUGGGGGCUGCAUCUGUGACCAGGAGGAGACAUUGGCAGGAAGGAGACAUUCUCGUCUCUCUGAGUGUUUACAGGUGAUGCCCAGCACAUCUUUGCUCCAGGAGCACAGGGCGGGCGCGAGCAAUUCAGCCAGAGCAGCAACACGUGGGGCUGAGAGCUUCUGUGGUCUCGGCUGGGAGGCUGCAGCACGAGAGGUGCUGGAGACGAGCGAGGAGGGCUCCUUGGAGCAGGUGAGGACACGGGGCGUGGAGGGUGAGCCUGUCAGACGGAGUUGGUGAAGAACAGUCUGCAGGCAGAGCCAGUGCAAGCAGGGGCAGGGCGGUGAGAGCGCAGAGCCACGGCCAGGCUGCGCAGCCGGGAGCCACUGGUGACUGCGUGUGGGGCCGGGAGCAGGAGGCGGGCGGGCAGUGGCACCAUUGGUGAGGCUUGGCUCUUGAUGCUGGUGGGCCAGGCAGCCUGAACUCCACCCUGGCGGGUGAGGGGGGCUGCUGACGAGGCCCAGGACUCAUCUGUGUGUGAAGCUCUGUGGGGACCAGUGAAGCUGGCACUGCUGGGGGCGGGGAUCCAAGCCAAGUAUAAUGUCAGGUGUCUACCAUUGAUUCUUGCUGUGGAACAAGACAGCCCACGUCUCUGUGGCCUCAAACAAGAGUGAAUUACUGCUUCUUGUGCCUGUGGGUUGGCCGCUUCGAAGAACUCUGAGCUGGACAGGCCAAGACAGCCCUGCACACACGCCGGCAGGUGGAGCUGGCUGGCUGAGGCCUCAGGGCCCCCCAAGAGCUGGACCAGCGUCCUCCCAUGGUGCACUCGGGGUAAGGCGGAGGCCGCCGAGCCUCCCAGAGUCCAGGCUCCACACCGCCCGACGUCACUCCUGCUACAUCCUCUUGGCUGAAGAAAGUCAAGGGACCCGCCUGGCCUUGACGGUGGGCGCCGCUCACGUCCUCACGGGAGCUUCCAUGAAUCCUUUGUGGGCACAGUCCGUCCGCAGGCAUCCCGUGCCCGGGACGCUGUCUGCUGCGUGCUCACAGGUGUGGCUGAAUCCCUGGCUGUAGGGGCUUCGGGGGAAGGGGAGGGGUGCACACCCGCAGAGGCAGAGACGCGUGGAGGGGCCGGGAUGGGUCGAGGGAGCCUGGAGGGGCUCUGGGUGGGGGGGCAGCUGACAGAGGUGGGACUGGGAGACAGAGGAGGCCCGGGCUUUGUUUUUCUUCUGUCUUUUGUCUUUUGAGGGCCGCCCCCACGGCAUAUGGAGGUUCCCAGGCUAGGGGUCUAAUCAGAGCUGUAGCCGCCAGCCUACGCCACAGCCACAGCCACAGCAACGCAGGGUCCAAGCCAAGUCUGCAACCUACACCACAGCUCAUGGCAACGCAAGAUCCUUAACCCGCUGAGCAAGGUCAGGGAUCAAACCCAUAACCUCCUGGUUCCUAGUCAGAUUCGUUAACCACUGAGUCAUGAUGGGAACUCCCAGGCAGGUAUUUUAGACCUGCUCUCACCUGCAUUCCACCCUCUGUACCUGGAGAGCCUCAACCCUGAGACCUAACUGGCCUCUCUUGCAGCUAGCUGACCUCUCAGAGAUUGGGCAGGGCCUGGCAACAGGCUGCAUCAUGAGAUGUGACUGUCUCCAGCACGAGGUUUCAGGCACCAGGUCUGCACCCCGUCCCACCAUCCAGAGCUCGGCCCAGCCCACCAAAGGGAGAGGAAGUGUGGGGAACAUGACCCUCCUGUGGGCUGGGCGGACCAGGCCCUGGCUUAAUCGAGACAGCGCCACCUUUACCACCAAGACCUGGGGGUUUCUUUCUCCUUUCCUAGGAGAGACCAGAGGAGUGACUGGGCUGACGGGGAGGGGUCGAAGAGAGGAGGGAGAGGGGAGCUGUGCCAUUUGGGACCCAGAAGUGGCCAUCAGGGAGGGAGGGAGAGCCAUGCCCAGGAAGAGACACCUCACUUCCCCUGAAGAGUCCCUAGGACAGCCAGCCCCGUGGUUCCACCCACUGCAGCCAGGCACGUGGUGCAGGGGGCCCUGGCGAGGACUGGACUUUCUUAGAGCAAUGAGGGGGCCCAGGAGCAUUUUGAGAGGAGAGCAGCGAGAUUCGAUUUCAGAGGCUCCCGUGGGGGAGGAGAGACGGCAGGGGGGCACAUGAACAAGCAUGGCCCAUCUGGGCCUUUCCCUGGGCACACGGCGCCAAGAGGCCUCACCCUUCUAGAGGCUUCCGAUGCUCUGGGCCGCUGAGGGAGGCUGCAGGCCGACAGAUCCAGUGGAAAAAGGCAGCUUCGGAGCCGCAGGCAGAAUGGCCAUAACCCUGUGGAGGCAGUCGCUGAAGCGUGGGGCACAUCGCGUGUUCCUCCAGCUGAAAGCCAGGCCACAGGCCUCCGUGGUCCCCCCGUCAGCUGUCAGAAGGCUGCCCAGGCCCUGGUUAACGGCGUGGGGCAGGAUCCGGGUCUCCAGUUCUCCAGGUCAUCUGUGCCAAGGCUCCCUCGGCCCACCCUCCCACAGCUCCAGGUAGACCUCACUGUCCUGCCCGCCCCAGCCUGCCUGCAGGCCUUCCUCCCACCACCAUUCAGGGGCGCGCGGAAGGAGGAGGUUCCGCUAGACAAGGGAGCCCAUCCCGGAGGCGGGUCUGAAGCAGCAUCACUACCGGCUCUGGACGUCACGCCACCUGCGCAGCAACUUCAGGCAGGGUGCGAAGACUGCUCCUGCGCAGGCGCAGUGCCUCCAAGUGCAUGGGACCUGAUGCUCAUUGGGCCUAACAAGUGUCAAUCACCUCAGGUGGGGGGGGCGGAGCCUAUGCCAACCGGAAGUGGGCUGGCGGCCAUUGGCUGACAGGCCAACCUCCCGAAGUGCGGCAGCUGGUGAGGCCUCCGGCCGGAGCCAGGGUGGGACCUGGUGAGACGGGCCCCCUGGCCUGGUUCCUCAGCCGCCCCCUCCCCUUACCCUGACUCCUUCCUCCGCACGUUGCUUAGUGCGGAGGGGCCUCGGGAGCGAGCGUGGGUCCAGAACCUGGGCCAGCGCCAGGGCCGCCGGGCUUCACCCUCCUGACGAGGACGUCCCGGUGGUGCCCGGGCAAGGCGGCGGGCCCUAGGGCCACCAGGCGGCGACAGCUGAAGACAGGAGGCGGAGUAGGGGAGUCGGGGAACCAGCGCUGAGCACGCCCCUCCAGGAGCCCCGCAGAGGCCGCGUGGGGCCGCCAGGGGCCUGCAGCCCCCGUUCGCCAAGGACAGGCCCCAGCAGGACCCUUCUGUCACCAGCGAGCGGAGGUGGCGUGGCGGUGUCCGCCCCAGUGCUGCCCCCGGCCCGCUCCGGAACCUUCCGAGGCUGCCGCGGGGCCUCGUCUAGACUGAGGUCUCCCUGCCGAGGCCGCGUGGCGAGGGUGAGACGGCAGGACCAGCCCGGAGGCUUCCGCGAGGACGAGCUGCGGCUUCGCCGGCCCUCCGGGUGGACACCGCCGGCUGCGCACGCGGCGUCCUUGCCCCGCUUGCGUGACCCGGUCGCGGGUAGACCCCUGCGAACAUUCUCUGGCGCUCCAGGGAGGUUCCCCCGGAAGAUGGCCCACCUUCCUCUCUGCCAGUGACCCGCACGGGGUGCGACGCCCGGAACCGCCGAGCCCUCUCGGGCAGCCUGUGCCCGGAGCUGUGGGAGGCCUCGGUUCGGAGGACGCUGGCAGACACGAGAGCCCCGACCCGAGCCGGAGGGCUUUCUCGGCCACCGCGCAGCCGGAGCUGCAGGGACCCCCUUGCCGCCUCCCCCUUCCCGGCACGCGGUCCAGGUAGGUGCUGCGCAUGCGCCGCGUCGGCGGCACGGGGAGCCCCGGGAACCUGGAUCUUUUCCAUGGGCUGCAGGCAAAUGUGCCCGAUCUUACCCCCAAGGACAGCCCACCUUGCCCUACGCCUGGCGGCGCGGGCGGGGGGUGCGGGCACUGUCCCUGUCAAGCCUCUUGCUAAACAAGUGGCCUUGCACAGGUGGCCUGGAGCAAAGCUGUCCGUGGCUGUGCUUGUGAGAUGUGCACUGGUGUGUGUGCGCUCGGGGUGGGGAGUGUGAGGUGCGCCGCUGCUGACAGCGCAAGACUGCAGCAUCAGGUCACAGCGGCCCCGGUGCUUUGUGGACUUAGGUUUGGGAGGAGACGUUUCCUUGCUGCCGCCUGAGCACGGGGGGACCGCCCUCUCCCCGCUCCCCCGAACGCUCCUCUGACCUGCUGUUGACGGUGUAUCCUGGGCCGUAGUUGAAAUCCCGCUCGCCGGCUAAGGGGUGGGGGCGCCCAGUGGCGUUUUGCUGGCGAAGGUCUUUAGAAAUCGGCGGACUGUGUGGGGAGGCGGUCGCAUCGUCUCCAUUUUUUCCUCUUUCUCCUGGUCUGAGGUUGGGUCCCAGAUUCAGGUCCUGGGUGCUUUGUUCCAACCGCCGGAAGAAGGGCUUGUUUCAAGGGAGGGGCCCACUUCACCGGCCCCCAGCUUCCCUUGGUAAACCUGUCAGCCAAGGGCUGGCCGUGGAGGCAGAACUAGGGGUCUCCGCCGGUGCCAGAGGCUGAAUGUGUCUCCCCACAUUCAUAUGCUGAGACAACCCCAAUGUGAUACCGUGAGGAGGGGGCCUCUGGGAGGUGCCGAGGUCAUGGGGGAAGAAGGCCUCAUAAAAGGGACCCCACAGUGGAGUUCCCUUCGUGGCUCAGUGGUUAAUGAACCCGACUAGGAUCCAUGAGGACACAGGUUCCAUCCCUGGCCUCGCUCCAUGGGUUAGGAUCCAGCGUGGCUAUGGCUGUGGUGUAGGCUGGCAGUGACAGCUUGGAUUAAACCCCUCCUGGGAACCUCUAUAUGCCUCGGGUGCAGCCCCAAAAGCAAAAAAGAAAAAAAAAAAAA